rnacentral:rRNA from 1 species
GCUAACUACGUGCCAGCAGCAGCGGUAAUACGUAGGCGCCAAGCGUUAUCCGGAAUUACUGGGCGUAAAGCGUCCGUAGGCGGCUAAAUUAGUCGGGUGUUAAAUUUUCGUGCCUAACGCGAAUUACGUACUCGAAACUGUUCAGCUACGAGUCUGAAAGAGGUCACUGGAAUUCCUACUGGAGGGGUAAAAUCCGUAGAUAGUAGGAGGAACACCAAAAGCGAAGGCAGGUGGCUGGUUCAGUACUGACGCUCAGGGACGAAAGCGUGGGGAGCAAACAGGAUUAGAUACCCUGGUAGUCCACGCCGUAAACGAUGAGUGCUAGGCGUUGAAGAGUUGUUUCGACCCUCUUCAGUGUCCAAAGUUAACACGUUAAGCACUCCGCCUGGGGAGUACGGCCGCAAGGCUAAAACUCAAAGGAAUAGACGGGGGCCCGCACAAGCGGUGGAGCAUGGGGCUUAAUUCGAUAAUAAGCGAGGAACCUCACCUAGGCUUGACAUCUCGAGAAAGCUCUGGAAACAGAGCCGUGCCUUUUGGAACUCGAUGACAGGCGCUGCAUGGUUGUCGUCAGCUCGUGCCCUGAGGUGUUCGGUUAAGUCCGUAAACGAGCGCAACCCUCGUCGUGUGUUGUAUUUUUCACGCGAGACUGCCGGCCCUAAGCCGGAGGAAGGCGAGGAUGACGUCAAAUCAGCAUGGCCCUUAUGCCUAGGGCGACACCCGUGCUACAAUGGGGAGUACAAAGGGUAGCGAAAGCGCAAGCUGGAGCCGAUCCUAAAAACUUCCCCCAGUUCGGAUUGAGGGCUGCAAUUCGCCCUCAUGAAGUUGGAAUCGCUAGUAACCGUGGAUCAGCCAUGUCACGGUGAAUAUGUUCCCGGGCAUUGUACUCACCGCCCGUCACGUCAUGGAAGAUGGGAGCACCCAAAGCACCCUUGGUAAUAGAGGGUACCACGGUGAAACCAUUGACUGGGACGAAGUCGUA